CUUUUGUUUUCUAGUGCGAAAUGCCCAGCUAAUCAAUUAUAAGUUCAAUCUUAUACAAUACAGUUGUAUUUCCAUUAAUUAGCUUAAGUAUCUUUAUGAAAAAAAUCAGUCAAAACACACGCAGUUCUUCAAUAAUUUCUCAUUUAUUUUGUUCUCAUUUUUUCGCUUGUUUUUUGUUUAAUUUUUUACUUUCUUUUUUGUUGUUUGUUUCUCCAUGUUAUUUGCUUAAGUUUUUUAUGUUAUUUUCUUUUGUUUUUGCUGUUCAUGUCAUACUUAUAAAUUAGUAAUAAAUCAUUUUUUAUACAAUAUUUUCUUUUGUUCUUUCGCUUUCUUACGAAAUGUUGAUGCUGAGAUAACAAUUCGGUUUGGAAAAUUUGCUUUACAUUUUGUUUAUUUCCGUUUGCAUUCUGCAUUUUCUUUUCAAUACUCUUGUUUUAAAACUGCUUAGCCGCAGUUAACAAUGUUAACUGCUUUACCUGCAAUUAUCAAAGGCUUGCGUGCAAUGCUUGCUAGCCAACCGUUAAACGCUUUUUUGUUUCUUUGUGUGUGUUGUUCUCUUCGCUCCGCCAGCACUGCUUCGUUCUGGCCUUCACGGCUUGGUGUAUGUGUGGUCGCAAAUAUGUAAAUUUCUUCUUUUCUUGAAUAUAUAUAAAUCAAUGAAUGUUUUAUGUUUCUUUCCUUUCUUUUAUCAACAUUUAAAGUACAUUAUUUAUGUAUAAUCUGUUAUGAUUUACUUUAGUUAUGUAUAUAUGUAUAUGUAUAAACUAGUGCGAAUUUUCUUGUUCUGCUUGACUGCUUUCUUUUUCAUAUUUUACGUUUUAGAAAUAUUCACUUUAGCAUAAUUUGUUUAUCUUUAAUAUUUCAUAUAUAAUACAAAUGAUUUUCAUUUACCUAUACAAGAAAUUUGGAUUAAUUUCAUAUACUAUUUGCAAUUUGUUAUUCAUGUAAAAUUUGAAAUU
rnacentral:lncRNA from 1 species